GUAGUCAUUGAUUCAGAAGACA
rnacentral:miRNA from 1 species